rnacentral:lncRNA from 1 species
AAAUAUAAAUGAUUAAUAACAACAACAAAAAAAACCUUUGAGUUUUGAGCUAAAUAUUCGCUUAAAGCCUGAAAAAGAAUUAGAGUAAAAUUAUGGAACCAAUAAACAAAUAAAUGAUUCUUAAAACAAAAGACUCAAAAAAAAAAAAAAAACAUAAUGCCGAAAAUGUCUAAUAUUAUCGUAAUACACGUAAUGGUUGGGCUUUGUUGGGCCGACAAUAUGUAUAUUGUUUUUUAAGAUAUCUAUUGCGUUUCGUCCAUUUUGAUAUCUAUAUGUAUUAAUUAAAUCAAAUAUUUAAGGGAAAAAACAAAUUAUUUAUACUAUUAAAAGGGAAACAUUUUGUAUAAAG